CUAAGUGAGAAAAAUGAGAGACACAGGGCCCAAAAGGAAGCUGCACUCUGCUGAUGCACCAGCCCGACUAAUUCAGUAACCUCCAUACAUACAAAUACAUGUGCUAUAGACAGAGCUGGAAUUGUGCUUCAUGUGCAGCAAAAGGUGAUUGUUGUCCAGUCCAUCCUGAUGUCCGGCUCUCGGAACUCCAUCAUCAAGAUAGACGCUUUGGCUCUCCUGUCUCACCUGCCGGCACGCUGUUCAUGUUCAUGUCAGACCUCCCUCCAUCCACCAUGGCCCUUCCGUCUGACAGUUUUGUAAGAGGUGAUCCUCUUAAGAGACAUGAGUUUUAUUUUAAUAAAGGGGCGUGUGUUGGCUAGUCCGUCCUGAUGUUUGGCCCACAGAACUCCAGCAUCAAGGUAGGCGCUUCUGCUCUCCUCCUGUCUCACCUGCCGGCAUGCUGUCCAGGUCAGCCUUGAACCUCUCUCCUCCUAUCAAGGCCCUUCCAUCCUCAAAAGAUACGAUCCCAGAAAUAUCUUCGAGGAAAGUAGAAGCGGCCACGUCACGUGUGGAGUGUGGGGCUGGAUCUCCAUGAACGGGGUGGGCGAUGUAGUGAGGAUAGAUGGAAGGCUGACGGCUGAAAAAUAUGUCCAUAUCCUGGAGGACUUCUUUCUUCCCUCACUACGGGAAAGGGAUUUCCAUGCCAACCCUGGACGAAUCAUAUUUGUCCAGGACAAGAGUCCAAUCCACAUGGCUAGAAUAGUCAAGGAGACCUCAACCCCUUAGAACAUGUCUGGGGGAAUAUGGUCAGUUCAUGGGAUCCAGCCAGGAAAUGCAAUCCACAGGCCUUUAUGGCUCACAUAAAUAGGUCCUGGGAGACCCUCAGGAAUAAGCCAGAGGUAAUUAGGAAAAUGGUGGCCUCUAUGCCAGACCGCUUAGCAGAAGUUAUGGAAAUGGAAGGAGGGUGGUCUCGUUAUUAGGAAAUUAUUGUUAAGAAUAAAUAUAUAAGUUGUCAGCAUUUGAUGUUUAUUUCCUUGAUAUGGAAAAUAAAUGCUUAAUACUUUGCCAAAUAGUUAUGAAGGUGAUAAAAUGAUGAUAAUGAUAAUGAUGGUAUUCUACUGCUGUUAUUACUCGUCAGCUCUCGAGUUUUAAUAAGGACGAUGUUUUGCAAACACACACAUAAAUUGUGUGUGUGUGUGUAGACACAAAAGCAGACAGGCAGGGGAGGGAUUAAUGGCUGGACAAGGAAGAGGAGGGAAGAAGGAAGGAGGGAGAGUGAGGACUAGACAGAAAGGAAUGAGUGGUGAUAGCAAGGGAUGGUGAUCAUUCGAGAGAGAGAGAGAGGAGAGGAGGGAGGAGGAGAGGGGCUAAUUGGGGACGAGGGGAGAGAGUGCAGUGGUGCUGAUUCCUCCUUGGCUGGGAGUCUGGUGGGCCUGUGCCGACUGGAGCCAAUAGAGCAAACAACUCCUGAAGAUUGAUGGGACAGCUGGAUUGUGCUCCACUGCUGUGUGUGAGCGAAGUUUAUAUCUCUACUUCCAUGUGGCUUGUUAGAAGUGAUGUGUGGCAGAGUAAGUUAGAAAGCCAUGAUGUCUAGCAGAGAUCGAUGCACUACACCCCACCUGGAAGAAGAAGACACUAAGAUUAAGACUAGUUCUCGCUCUGAAGAUUGGCAACCACAUCUGUGCCGGAAAUUAAAUUAGGAAGUCAUUAAGUGACAAAACAAAAAUCUACAUUCCUCUGUAAUGGAAGGCUAUUCAAUAAACAUAUACUGGUGCAGAUACUGUU